AGACCCUGUACGGGGUACCCGGGACACCCGAUCUCUGGGUUCAGGUUUGCCCAUCUCUGGGCGGCAGGGCAAGGUCUCUUUACUAUAGCCAUGGACAACUCCAGCAUACAGGAACUCCAGCAACCCUUACUGCCAAGCGUAACCUGGGACCUCCUUGCUUCCAAGUCUGAGAAACCAGAGCUGGGAACCCUCUUCCCAGAAACUGCCUUUGCAGAUUCCCCGAGAGGCUGGCAGCUUCUUCUCCCACCUCUUCCUUCAGUGAGCGCUGGCCUGGGGGAGCCUGAGACCCCUGACCUUGAGGACACAUCAUCCAGUGACAGUGACUCAGAUGAUGAUGGGGGUGACCGGCUCUCUCCACUUCUUCCCCAUGACCACCUGGGCCUGGCGGUGUUCUCUGUGCUGUGCUGCUUUUGGCCUGUGGGCAUCGCUGCCUUCUGUCUGGCCCACAAGACCCGCCCUAGUUGCUCUUCGGCCCCCACUGUGAAUGCAGAGACCAGAGGACCAUCAAACCCGUGAGCAGAAUGGAUGAUCUUGGUGCACACAUGGUGACGGCGAGGACAUCACUCAGAAACAAGUCAGCUGGAGGUCCCCUCCCUUUCCUGGCCACCCCCACCCUCCAGAAAGAAGCAAUGUGAGAGAUUAAAGAUACCCUGAAGCC
rnacentral:lncRNA from 1 species